AUUUUACAUUAACAUACAUCUAAUGGUUUUUUUUUCUUUUUUCUCUUUUUUUCUUCAUCUGAACAAAUUUUUAACUAUAAAUGCAAUAUUUAUACUCCUCCUGAAACUCUUUUACACUCACCUUAGAACGUAUAUCAUAUGUGACUGUAUGGGCUGCUUUUCUCUGUACGUCAUAACAAAAAAGAAUGUUAAUGUUCUCUAUCCAUGAUGGCAUUUGCAGGCGUUUGACAGACUUGCCCCUCAUUUCUGUUGUUUAUGAAAAAGAAUAUGGGAUUUGUCAUAGCUAGGUUUUCAAUAAGGUUAACAGGCUAUGUGCACGCAGGCAAUACACUUAUUUAAACAUGUCUUAUGAUAAGAAUCUAAAGGCACAUUUCUAAAACGUACAGUACAUGUUUUAAAACUUAUAUAACUGUAAAGCAAAACAAAUGUAUUUCUCAUUGAGAAACUAUCCAAAAGGCAUGUACUGUAGGUCUGUAUAAAUGUCGUGUGAGGAUUAUCCUGUUGGACAAAACGUGUAAGUGUAAUGAACUGUGUUUGAACACAGAGCUAAUUAUUUGCAAUCUUCGAGAAGUCUAUGGGAAAAUCUUAUGGGGAUUUUAUUGAAAGGAACCAGUUUUAUGCUAGAAGCCGAUUGGCCUACAAGGUGACAUCAUAGUUCCUCUACUCUGUAGUCACACAGCCCUGGUCUGUUUAUUAGACACAUCUUGUUACUUUGUUGCAUUAUAUUUCUUUUUUUGUGAUUUAUAGAUUUGCAGGCGGGUCAAAUGGUCAUCAGCCCAGAGAGAUUACAGCAAGCGUUGGGUCAGAAACACAUCAUUGUGGCUCAGGAUCAAAGUCUUUCUGACUUUCUCAUUUACAGCCUGUAUUUAAUGUUGGGUGGUUAUGGAAAAUCACAAAGAAGAGUAUUACAUUUGAUCUUGUAUCUAAUGCAAGGUGGUUUAGAUUUUAUAAAGUGGUAAAUGUAUAAAUGUAAUAUAAACUCAGGUUUUAGAGGCAUGUUUUUGACAAAAUGCUUCUUUUCUUAGAAGGAGGCAACAUAUAUUCAGCAGAUCACAACAGUAGAUGGACAGACCGUACAGCACUUAAUGACCAGAGACAACCAGGUCACUGAGAUGGGGGACGGGCAAAUCCCUCACAUUCAGUAUGAACAUGAUGGGACGUUUCUACAGGAACAACAGAUUGCUCUGUCUCAGGAUGGACAGAUCCAGUAUGUCCCCAUCACCACUGAACAGCAGGUUGUGGCCCCUGAAGAUCUGGAAGCAGUCGCUCAUUCAGCGGUCACUGCUAUUGCAGAUGCAGCAAUGACCCGGUUUACACUGAAGCCACACCUGAACAACUGGAACAACUGCAAGAGCAGGGCAUCCAGUAUGAUGUCAUCACUUUUAUUGAGGAGUAGAAACACGACACACACAUUAUUUAUUAACAACAUCAACACACACACACGGACAGACAGAAGAAUAUCUGAAGCUCAUCUCAGCUCCAAAUGAGCAUCACAAACUGCGCUGAUCAUAAGUAACACAAACUUCUUCCACAAUCAUCAGUCAUUUAUAAGAUGAUCUAAAAUGCUGCAGCUCGUCUGGUCUGAGCUCUAUUUAUCCCAAUAGAGUCCUCUACACACAUCAAUAUCACAGGAGGAUUGAGCUGGUUUUCUUUCUUCUUGUUCCACUGACGCAUG